rnacentral:rRNA from 1 species
UACGUAGGUGGCGAGCGUUGUUCGGAUUUAUUGGGCGUAAAGGGUCCGCAGGGGUUUGCUAAGUCUGAUGUGAAAUCCCAAGGCUCAACCUUGGAACUGCAUUGGAAACUGGUGAACUAGAGUAUCGGAGAGGUAAAUGGAAUUCCUGGUGUAGCGGUGGAAUGCGUAGAUAUCAGGAAGAACACCGAGAGCGAAGGCAAUUUACUGGACGAUCACUGACCCUCAGGGACGAAAGCGUGGGGAGCGAACAGG